rnacentral:rRNA from 1 species
UGGGGAAUAUUGCACAAUGGGCGCAAGCCUGAUGCAGCCAUGCCGCGUGUAUGAAGAAGGCCUUCGGGUUGUAAAGUACUUUCAGCGGGGAGGAAGGUGUUGUGGUUAAUAACCGCAGCAAUUGACGUUACCCGCAGAAGAAGCACCGGCUAACUCCGUGCCAGCAGCCGCGGUAAUACGGAGGGUGCAAGCGUUAAUCGGAAUUACUGGGCGUAAAGCGCACGCAGGCGGUCUGUCAAGUCGGAUGUGAAAUCCCCGGGCUCAACCUGGGAACUGCAUUCGAAACUGGCAGGCUAGAGUCUUGUAGAGGGGGGUAGCAUUCCAGGUGUAGCGGUGAAAUGCGUAGAGAUCUGGAGGAAUACCGGUGGCGAAGGCGGCCCCCUGGACAAAGACUGACGCUCAGGUGCGAAAGCGUGGGGAGCAAACA